GACGAACGCUGGCGGCGGGCUUAACACAUGCAAGUCGAACGGAAAGGCCCUGCUUUUGUGGGGUGCUCGAGUGGCGAACGGGUGAGUAACACGUGAGUAACCUGCCCUUGACUUUGGGAUAACUUCAGGAAACUGGGGCUAAUACCGGAUAGGAGCUCCUGCUGCAUGGUGGGGGUUGGAAAGUUUCGGCGGUUGGGGAUGGACUCGCGGCUUAUCAGCUUGUUGGUGGGGUAGUGGCUUACCAAGGCUUUGACGGGUAGCCGGCCUGAGAGGGUGACCGGCGACAUUGGGACUGCGAUACGGCCCAGAGUCCUACGGGAGGCAGCAGUGGGGAAUAUUGCACAAUGGGCGGAAGCCUGAUGCAGCAACGCCGCGUGCGGGAUGACGGCCUUCGGGUUGUAAACCGCUUUCGCCUGUGACGAAGCGUGAGUGACGGUAAUGGGUAAAGAAGCACCGGCUAACUACGUG
rnacentral:rRNA from 1 species